GGAAACCACUCGCCUAACGAGUGGGCGUCCGGCGGAAACUACAGGGCUUGGGACCGGAAGACUUGAGGGGUACGUCUGGGGUAAGAGUGAAAUCCUGUAAUCCUGGACGGACCGCCGAUAGCGAAAGCACCUCAAGACGACGGAUCCGACAGUGAGGGACGAAAGCUAGGGUCUCGAACCGGAUUAGAUACCCGGGUAGU
rnacentral:rRNA from 1 species